UAACCUGCCCAAGAGAUCGGGAUAACACCUGGAAACAGAUGCUAAUACCGGAUAACAACAGAUGAUGCCUAUCAACUGUUUAAAAGAUGGUUCUGCUAUCACUCUUGGAUGGACCUGCGGUGCAUUAGCUAGUUGGUAGGGUAACGGCCUACCAAGGCGAUGAUGCAUAGCCGAGUUGAGAGACUGAUCGGCCACAUUGGGACUGAGACACGGCCCAAACUCCUACGGAAGGCAGCAGCC
rnacentral:rRNA from 1 species